GAUGAACGCUAGCGGCAGGCUUAAUACAUGCAAGUCGAGGGGCAGCAGGGUGUAGCAAUACAUCGCUGGCGACCGGCAAACGGGUGCGGAACACGUACGCAACUUACCCAAAACUGGAGGAUAGCCCGGGGAAACCCGGAUUAAUACCUCGUAACAUUAUGGAGUGGCAUCACUCUAUAAUUAUAGCUCCGGCGGCUUUGGAUGGGCGUGCGCCUGAUUAGGUAGUUGGUUGAGGUAACGGCUCACCAAGCCUGCGAUCAGUAACUGGUGUGAGAGCACGACCAGUCACACGGGCACUGAGACACGGGCCCGACUCCAACGGGAGGCAGCAGUAAGGAAUAUUGGUCAAUGGACGCAAGUCUGAACCAGCCAUGCCGCGUGAAGGAUGAAGGUCCUCUGGAUUGUAAACUUCUUUUAUAUGGGACGAAACCCGGGAAUUCCUUCCCGAUUGACGGUACCAUAAGAAUAAGCACCGGCUAACUCCGUGCCAGCAGCCGCAGUAAAAC
rnacentral:rRNA from 1 species